AUUGAACGCUGGCGGCAUGCCUAACACAUGCAAGUCGAACGAGGGGCGGACGGGUGAAUAAUGUAUGGGAAACUGCCUGAUGGAGGGGGAAAACUACGGGAAACGGUAGCUAAAACCGCAUACCAUCGGAUGUGCCCAGACGGGAUUAUCUAGUAGGUGGGGUAAAGGCUCACCUAGGCGCAGAUCCCUAGCUGGUCUGAGAGGAUGACCAGCCACACGGGAACUGAGACACGGUCCAGACUCCUACGGGAGGCAGCAGUGGGGAAUAUUGCACAAUGGGCGAAAGCCUGAUGCAGCCAUGCCGCGUGUAUGAAGAAGGCCUUCGGGUUGUAAAGUACUUUCAGCGGGGAGGCGUUACCCGCAGAAGAAGCACCGGCUAACUCCGUGCCAGCAGCCGCGGUAAUUC
rnacentral:rRNA from 1 species